rnacentral:RNase_P_RNA from 2 species
ACAUUCAGGUAACCGCUGCACGUUUACGUGUAGAGGAAAGUCCAUGCUCGCACGAGCUGAGAUGCUCGUAGUGUUCGUGCCUAGCCAAUUCAUAAGCUAGGGUAGUCUGGUUUCGACUGGUCUAACGGCAAGGGAAGCACCUAAGUCUAUGGAUAUGGUGUGAUACCUUUGAAAGUGCCACAGUGACGGAGUCCAUUUGGAAACAAGUGGAGUGGAACGAGGUAAACCCCACGAGCGAGAAACCCAAAAUAUGGUAGGGGCAUCUUCUUAUAUGGAAAUGAACGAUUAAGAAGAACAAGGGAAACCUUGUAGAUAGAUGGUUACCACCGGAGUACGAGGUUCAUCACCGUUUGCAGUACAAAGGAACAGAACAUGGCUUAUCGAA